CAGGUGUCGCCUUACAAAAACUUCUCUGUGUAGUUGCCAAUUAGCAGGUCUGAUUGAAAUUGCAAUUGUUCCAUCUCCUUUAAACAUGUUUUUAAGCAGAAAUCGAAGAGUUAUGGAUAUAUUAGUUUUGUGCUGGGUGCGUCUGACACCCAGAAGGAAGCGUAUUCGACCGCAUUAAGUAUGUUUGACGCCUAGUUCACAGAGACUUUAGAAGAGUUCGUCUCCUAGCGUACUGGAGUGAGAUAGAAAAACAGCUGACUUGGUGUGAGAAGUGAAAAAGAAAGAGAUAGAGAUAGAUGUGGAUGUAGCGGGAUAAGAAACCGUACUGGAAAAAUGGUAAAAAUAAAAAAUUCAAAAAUAAAUCGUCGCCAAAAUGCACUUGCUUGUAUAUUUCAACCAACCAAUCAAAAUGGAUGCAACCGUCGGCCGCUUCGGCAUUCGAGGCGUGGUUCUAGGCGCAUGGUUCUUUGCUUCCAAGCCGAUGGACCACAAAUGGGCUAUACUUGAUAGAGCUUGGAUGCACUAAAAUUAGGUGAAAGAUUUUAUAGAAUACGAAAAUUCUGAGGUUCUGAGAUCGGAGUUCCAAAUAAAUCGGAAUGUUCUUCUUACAGGGGCUUAACGGGCUGCGACUUUCCGAAUGCCUGCUUCCCGGCUUUUGGUUUCUUGGCGUUCGGUUUGAAUUCUAUUCGGAAUUCAAUUUCAUUAUUCCUUUUUAUUUAUAUUUAUUACUUCUUAUAACGUUAGGCAACAAAAUCAAACUUUGAUUUACGCUUCAGCCAAAUCAACUUUUCCUAAUAGAUUUGGGGCUGUAAAAAUUUAUAAUGAUCUAUGGUUUUUUCAUUAUUUUUAACUUUAUCAAAAUGUUUUUUCAAAGGAAGAUUCACAUAAUUUAAGUAUCUUUAAUCUGGUUGCUUUAAACUAUGCAAUUCUAAAAAGCUAAUUAAUAUAAAUCUGACCCAAAACUUUUAGUAUUAAUU